AAGAUAUUUAACCUUCCUUGGACUGUACGCAUGAAAAACUUGUGUUAGACAGUUACCAGCCUCACAGUGAUCUGACUCGUUUUUCUGUUUAAAACAUUCUGAAACUUCUAUGGAGACUUAUCUGAUGCCACCUAUAUAUAAUGACCUAGAUUUUAAAAACAGUUGGGAAGCAGACGUCUGGAAAUCUGCUGUGAAUUUUAACAUUUUCCAUACAAAGAUCGAGUGUUAACCUGCAGUUUGUUUUCCCAUUAGGAAAGACUGAAAUGCUUUCAGGACUUCUCAGCUGUAUAAUGAGGAUCAUCUUGUUUGGGAUAUGACCACGGAGUAACAACAGGGUCAUGCUUUCUCUGUCAGAUUCCUGUCUCAAAGGAGAUCCAGAUGAAUUUCUGUAGCAAAUGCAUGCUCUUCAUACACAUUCCCCUCAACUCAUCUGAGUUUCAUUUCUGUUGUGAGCGUUACAUCACCGUCUCUUGGCAACUAUCCCUGGAGUGCUUGGGAAGGAUAUUCAGUCAUUAAUGGGGAUGAACCCUGUCCCAUGGAAAGUGGCAAAGAGGAAGAUCACUGUUCUGGGUGAGAGCAGCUACUGCAUGUGGAAUCACUUGUCUGCAGAGAAAUGUAUUCUGACACGUUCCCAUUUGCCUUUGCACAACUGCACAGUGGACUUGGUAAUGCAUCUGAGCAGCCUUCUGAUCAGUCUAAAAAGUAGGGUAUCCCUCUCUUCCCAUUUAGAAAUAAAGAACUGCAGAGAUGAAUUCCACCAUCCAAGAAGCAGGUUGGAUAAGAUGGAAGUUGUGUCAGAUGGCUUCAAGGGUGCCUAAGACCAUCAGCAUUAAGUACUACCUGACUGCUGAAAUUCUUGAUAAUUCUCUCAUCUGUAGUCUCUAUUUAGCAACUGGUAGAAGGAUGGGAAAGUCGUGAUUUCCUAAAAGGGCUGUACCAUCUGUCAGUGCUACUCAUCUUUUUUUCAAACUUACUUUGAGUUAUUUUUUCUCUCCUUCUGACAUUCACCAUUCCCAGGCUGGGCUAUAGCCUGGUGAGUGUGCUGUUCAGUACCAAUUAUGAGAUACACAGAACUGUUUAUUUUAAAAUCUGAGGUGUCUCAGAAAAUGAAAUACCACUGGCACAAAUACUGACAACCAGCUUUCCAUGAGGGGAUGUGAAGCAAGGCAGAUAACCAUUACGGCCCUUUCAGGUAUUUCUGCAGGGAGUGCAGAUAGUUUUCAUCUUCAGAAUGACCCCACUGAUCCCAGAGAGCUUCUGUGGAAAAGCAGCAAUAUCUUGAGUUCAUCUGUGUCAAAAGCUGGUGAUAAACCUCAGACUUUUACCAGAGAUAAGAGGAUCAUAUUGCACAGUGGCCUUAAAGCAUGCUAAGAUUUGGAUUCUUGUGAAAGGAGGGCAUUACUAACUCUGGAUUUUUCAUAUUCUUUCUUACUCCAAAAAUGAAGUGAUUGUACAAUGCAGUGAGUAUGAUUCUUUUGUAUUUAAAUGUGAUUCUUUAAUUGAGUAACAUCUGGAUUCAGUCUGUGGGAAGAAAUUAGGCUUUUUUUUUUUUUUUUCUUUUAACCCUAUGCCUGUUUCAUUAAUCUUUCUUAUGCAUAUAGCUUUUUUCCAUUUUUCGUUUCGUUUUCCCUUUGCUGCCAAUAGGGCUUUGUUUUACAGUUUUCAUUUUUGGACUUUCCCCCCGCAGUCUCACACUUCAACAAAGCACUAAUGUUCAAAGUGUGAAAAUGACAGCAAAGGCACAUCCUCGUACAGUCGACAUGCUAAACCCACCUGAACAGAGGAGAGCAGGGUACAGAAUCAAGACUCUACAUUAAAAUAUGCAUCAAACUCCUGACGAAAAAGAAAUAAAGAAGUUAAUACGGCAAACAGCAAGAAACUAAACAAACACAGCCCAUAAAGGAAGCAAAUGCACCGAGUAUGAUGAGAAAGGAAAAGUCAGAUUAGGGCCAUCUCCACUCAUGGGAACACAUGAAGAGAGUCGGCAACUGCAAGCUGCACACUUUCCUCCAGAAGAAAAGGCUUGAUUUUCAGAAGUGCUUUUGAGGACAGAAUUUUCUGCUUCCCACUGGGAAGAAGAUCAUUUUUUUAAAGCUUAGCCUUACCAGAAAGUCAGGAUGAAUACUGGAAUGUGGUUUAACAUUGUACCCUCUGAGGAAAUGUUUAUCCCCACUAACUGGGGGUAAUUAGAAAGAAAGAUGGCGUUGCCUGUGGAACUUACUUAAAAACGUAUCUUUGGCAUUGUAUGGUGUAUUGGCAGCAAUAAAGCAGAAGGGAAUCAGUGUUGGUGGUUCAAGGGGUGGGAAAGCUGAAACAGGAAACAUCAGGAACAGCCAACACAGUGUGUAGUCAGUCAAGCCCAGUGCACAUAUAUCUGGAGCAACACAUACAUGUAUACACACAUGUGCACGCGUGUACACACCUCAGCCAUGCAGACACUGAGGCAAGAGGCAGAAAGAUCAGAGGAGGAAACAGUUUAAGUGCUGCAGCUCCAUGUACAUAUAUACAGACCUCUGCCCCCAGCCCACUCAUGCAGAGGCCUUUUUGUCCAUUUUCUUCUCUUGAAAAAAUCUGGUGAUGCAUCCUGGCAUAUGGGAAAAAGCUCAUGGUUUGCUAAAGCUUUUAGGGGGUUGGUCUGCUUCCUUAAUCUACUGUUAAAUGAGUUUGGAGGCCAGAAUAAGAAAUGCUUUUUUGUAUUUUGCCAAUUGAAAUCAAAAUAAAUAUAUAACUAAAAGGAGCUCGCUCACAAAUUUACAUUACCUAUAUGUUGCUAUGUCAUACUAGCAAAUACAGCUCAGCACCUAUUACUAUGACUUUCAGAAAGAAUCAUGCAAACUCAGAAUGGCUGAUGUGGGCAGGGACCUCUGGGUCCAUCUGCUCCAAUUCCUGCACAAGCAGGGCCAUACACAGCAGGGCACCCAGGCCCACAUCCAGGCAGCUUUUGAAGAUCUUCAAGGAGGAGACUCCAUAGCCUCUGGGCAGCCCAUGCAAGCAGUCCAGCACCUGUGCACUGAAAAAAUAUUUGCUGACGCUCAGGGGAAACCCCCUGUAUGCCAGUUUGUGUCCAUUGCCUCUUGUCCUGGCAUUGGGCACCACUGGAAAGAGCCUGGCCCCAUCCUUUUGGCACCCUCCCUUCAGCUAUACAUAGGUGUGAAUGAGACCCCUUGAACUGCUUCUUCUCCGGGCUGAACAGGCCCAGAUCUCUCAGCCUUUCCUCAUAGGAGAGAUGCUCCAGCCUCUUCAUCAUCUUCGUGGCCCUACGUUGAACUCUUUCCAGUAUGUCUGUAUCUUUUUUUAUACUGGAGGGCCCAGAAACGGACCCAGCACUCCAGGUGUGACCUGACCAGCACUAAGGCAGCAAUAACAUAUUCUGAGCUCGAGAAAGUCUCUCAUAUUUCUCUCCUAUACAGGGAACAAACACAAUUUUAAAGGAUUUGUCAUUUUAAAAAUAAUGAAUAAUGAGAUACAUACCUUGUUCCUUUUUCCAGAAAGAAGAUAUUUAAAACAGGGCACUGACAAAGCCUAUAAUUUCACAUCACUUUCUUCUAUGAUUUUCACAGCCAGAGUAGCAAUGGGAAAGUGACGCAGGUCACCAGUGUAGCAAAAAGCUGAACGUCAAGUGGUGAGAAAAAAUAAAUAAAUCAGUGGCUGUACUAUUACCAAGAGAAUUGAGGCUUGCUCUUCCUGAAGAAAAGCUGUCUGCAGCCAGCUCUCACAGCAACAGAACCAGGGCAACUGCCAAUGUAGGCGAAGCAAAGCAAAAUGAAGUUCAAGACCUAUUGCCAAGGGGUGGAAAGGUUUAAGAACAACAAAUGCCUCAUCUUGACAAUGUAAAAUCUGCAAAGACUAGAACAGAAAGGGCCAAUUACUACCUUAUGUUCCAGUUCUAAUCCGAAAUUAUAGGAUAGAUUUCUAAUGAGGGGGAACACUACUGGAGGCAGCUGUGGAGGAUGGAGGGGUACAUUGCUGUAAUUACAGACCCUUGUGCAUUGGUGACAGAAGUUCCAAAACUUCAAGAGGCAACACCUUUGUAAUAUUUGUUUUUGCAGAAUCAAAUAACACCCUCAAUUUGCAGUGGAAUGGAAACACUGAAGUAUGUGAGUUUCAAAGCAGAUUGUAGUACUACCUGGCACGUGGUAGGAGCUGGACUAAGAAGGCAGAGGUGAGCCAAUGUACUGGAACCCUAACUCAGACCAGGGCUACAUGUGUGGUUGUUGGCCAGAGCAAAUAGAGCAGUGGCAAUGGGGGAAAAAAGACAGAUAAAGAAAGAGACAAAGUCUUAGGAAGGACAUCUGAUAUAGUACAGUCAAAACAAACUCCUUUCUUCCUUUCAAGAAUAUUGCUAGCAUUGAGGGCGCUGAAUGUUUCAUACACUGAAUUAUUACACAGUGUACAUUACUAGAAAGACCAAGGGAAUGAGUUUUGAUUUAACAGGCUCUUUUUCUUUCUCUUUUUCUUUUUUUUCCUUUUCCUUUUCCUUUUCCUUUUCCUUUUCCUUUUCCUUUUCCUUUUCCUUUUCCUUUUCCUUUUCCUUUCCCUUUCCCUUUCCCUUUCCCUUUCCCUUCCCUUCCCUUCCCUUCCCUUCCCUUCCCUUCCCUUCCCUUCCCUUCCCUUCCCUUCCCUUCCCUUCCCUUCCCUUCCCUUCCCUUCCCUUCCCUUCCCUUCCCUUCCCUUCCCUUCCCUUCCCUUCCCUUCCCUUCCCUUCCCUUCCCUUCCCUUCCCUUCCCUUCCCUUCCCUUCCCUUUUUUUGCCUGUGUGAGCUAUACAGUCAGAGACAGUGGUUUACAACAUGUGGUCUGCAGACUCCUAGAGAUCCAGAGGACUUCCAAGGGCUUCAGAAGAGUUAACCAUGGAACAAACAAUUAUCUUGUCCUUACUCAAGGGUAUGCAUCUCUCCUGCAAAGCUUAUAGGGAUCUAUAAGGGGAGAAGGCUUGAAAAAACACACUACUACUGGGGCCCCAAGUACAGGAAGGAUGUGGAGCUCUUGGAGCAGGUCCAGAGGAGGGCCACUAAGAUGACCAGAAGGCUGGAGCACCUCUCCUUUGGGGAAAAGUUGAGGAAACUGCGCUUGUUUAGCUUGGAGAAGAGAAGGCUCCGGGGAGACCUCAUUGCGGCCUUCCAGUACUUGAAGGGAGCAUAUAAACAGGAGGGGGAAUGGCUGUUUAUGAGGGUGGACGGUGAUAGGACAGGGGGGAAUGGUUUUAAACUGGGACAGGGGAGGUUUAGGUUGGAUAUUAGGAAGAAGCUUUUCACACAGAGGGUGGUGACACACUGGAACAGGUUGCCCAAGGAGGUCGUGGAUGCCCCAUCCCUGCAGGCAUUCAAGGCCAGGCUGGAUGUGGCUCUGGGCAGCCUGGUCUGGUGGUUGGAGACCCUGCACGUAGCAGGGGGGUUGAAACUCAAUGAUCAUUGUGGUCCUUUUCAACCCAGGCCAUUCUAUGAUUCUGUGCCAUUCUAUGAUUCUAUUACUAUUACAUGAAAGGAAAGGAAUGGUGUUUUCUAAUUAACACUUCCAUGGAUGUACUAUGACUCAACUCCUAGUGACAUGCUACAUAACUAUUUUGUCAGAGUAAUUUUGCUGUUUCCAGUAUUCAGACCAAGAAAUGGCCAUGCAAUGAACAACAGUUACAUGAAUUGUAUUCUCCUCAUAGUUUAAUGUGGCAUCAGACUUUACUGACUAUUCUUUUAUUUGUUCCUCAAGGUAUUUUUUAAUUGACAAUAUUACAAGAUAUGAGUACUUUGUGAACAUUAACAAUUCUUUGUAAAUCUCUGAGGUGAGCAGAUGAAAAAUGAAGAGAAGGACGCAUUCAUUAUUUGUAUCCAAUUUGGGAUAUUAAAAUCUGGUCUUUACAAACACUUCACAUUAUAUUGUUUUGCAUAUACUAAAAAGACAGCCCCCAUUGCCUUCAGUUAUAGCUCUGAGCACCUGGCUCUUUUUCAAGUCAAGAAUCAUGCUGAUCACCAAGGAAAUGAGGAGCAUCCAGGUACCAUCGCACAUAUUUUGUCUUAUGAGCAAGGAGUUCUGGAGCAGCAGGACUGAGUGCAAGGCAGCAUUCACACCCCAGGAGCAAUUUAUCCACACCACUGUUCCACCUUCUCCUCACCCUCAGUUUUAAGUCCAGUACUUUGUAUUUAGCCAGUCCUCACCUCUGCUCCUUAAACUUCCCACACAUUCCUAAUCUCACACAGCAAAUCCUUGGCCCUAGAAAAUCCAAGAUAAGUGCAUUGCAGACAUCGGAUGCAAACACAGACACAGCUUGUUGCCUAGACCACUGCCAUUAUCCUCUCCCUGGAUCAACAUCCUUGCCUGUGGCCUUUCUCCCUUCCUCCUGUGCCACCUCAGAGGGGUUCAGCCCCAGGCCCUGAAGAGUUCAGAUCUAAGUGUGAGGCAUAGCCUGCCACAGAGCAUUGUGACAACCAUACCAAAAAAUAAAAGAAUCUUACAUUUGGACUAGGUGCGCUCAAGGCAGGCAAAUCAUCAAGGAGGUUAGCUGCUAACAUUUUAAAGGUUUCUGCCGAAAAUGUGUGAGCUGCAAGCUUUGAAAGGCCUCUGUCUUAGCUAACCCUGGCUGAAUUUGCUCAAGGACCUUAAAGGAUUGUGCUCUUUCAGAAAGCCCACUUCCUCCUCCACACCUCCUGAUACCAAAUGUCAAAUACUCAUUCCAGAAACCUUUGACCUGAGUGAAAUGCAUUUCACUUUUUUCCUGUGUCUGUAAAGCAUCAUCACCUGUACAUGUGUGUGUUUGUGAUGUGGCAAGUGCAGCUGAGCGCCUCUGAACAGCCCAGUUCCAGAAGCUGAACUCUGAAAAAGCUACAACUGGCUGGAAACAGGGCUUUAUGAUGAAAUGUGUAGACAACUUUAAUAGCACUUGGAGCCAUCAGCCUCACCUGCAAUCACUGAUCAGAUUUGGAGAAAGCUAUUAAAAAAACAACAACAACAACAACAACAACAAAAUGCUGUAGUGAAGCCUACAGGCCUUUGUUUUAUUCUCCCCAUUGGAAGCGUGGCAGAUACAGCCAGACAGCCCUGUAAUCUGGGAACCAGAUAUUUUGGAGAGAAAUCACAGCCACAUCAGCACCCAGCUUUCAUCUGGAUGUUUGUUUGUUUGUUUUCUGUCUCUGAUCUCUUUAGCUGGCUAAUUACGAAGCCUGAAUCAGCAGCUUGCCCAACGAGGGCAACUACUCCAUCUGUACCUGCGACCCUUAGAAAGAUCUCCCAGUGUACUCAAGUUAGUAAGUAGCGAGCCCCUCACAAGCCUCUCAGCCUAGUUUAUUUAGCUGACCUUAUAAACGUGUGCUGUGUUCUACUAUACUGCUCUUUCUGCGUUUCCUAUUUUAAGAUGAAUUAAGGGGGAAAAAAAUCCAUAAACCUUGACAUCACAUUUUGCAAAGGAAGCAAAUGCACUCCUCCCUAGACUCAAAAUGAAUGGCCUUUUAAGGUGACUGCUGAAUUAAAUUCCUGAAUGAUGAAAUCAACAUGUAUGAAAAAGUUCUUAUUUCCGAAACAGAAAAAAGCUGCAGGAAAAAAGAAGGGGGGGGAGGAGGAAAGCUCAGUAGUGUGAUUGCAGGGUUGAGAGCUGAAUAGGAGCUGUUUACAGUGACUCAAUAAAGAUACUUUACUUAGCUUUGGUAGUAAUGCAACUUCACAGGCUGAAGGGAAAUGGGGAUAUCCAUAUUCUGAGCCCGCUAAGCUUCUCUAAUGUAAGACAUGUGCAUUUAGUUGAAGUCCUGAAAUACCUCACUAAGAAGAAGGAUGAUGGGAAACCCCAAGCACAUCUUUCUGUUUAUCAUACGUUACAUACUUCUGACAUACUUUACACAGUAGUGUAUGCAGCUGACAUCAGUCUUUAGAUAUAUAACAUGCCUGUAAGGUAUGCAGCUAAACUCCGAUUCUGUGAAGACCUAAAAUACCCUUAAGACAGUAAAAAUAAUCUCAUUAGAGGUACGGAGCAUGUCUGGACAUUCUCAGGACAGAGGUGCUGCUACAGCACAGCCUAUUGCUCUCACAGCAGGGAGUCACAGCAUAUCAAACCAACAUAAAACACAGAAAUGUAACAAUCUCCCAACUAUCUUGAGAAAAGAACCAAAGGGAAUUCCGUGAAAGCUUUAAAUUCCCUACAGCUCAGGAAGUCGCUAAAGAUUAGGUUGAUUAACACCGCCUAAGCAUUUUUCUAUCAUUUUCCACAAGAGUGUUGCAGAUAGACAAGAGCGCAACAGACAUGAAAUCUAGUUCCAAUUUCUUCUUCUCAUGAUUCUUGCUCCAGUGUGACUCCAAAACUUGGGUUUCCACCAGACUUUUCUACAUUAUAUUUUCUACUGUUGGAACAACCCUUGUUGCUGAGUUGUUGAUAACAAUAAUAUGAGCUUCAAGGCAGGAAAGGUACUGUUAGGUGUUGAUAUUUUUUCAUUACUACAUCAACCAGACUUGCUUUAAGUAAGGUUAGACCACACAGUGAUAAAAUACUGAUGUCUUAUCUUAAUUGUUCUCAGUGCAGCUACAGGCAAUCUGCUACACCAGAGAUAACUGAAUGUUAGAGGAGGGUGGCUAUUUUAGACAGCUUGCAUCUGCAGGAAAGGAAGAGAAUGCGAUACCUCUGUAGGACUUCAGAAUCAUGUGCUUUUCCUUUUUUAAGCUCAAUUCCUCUCCAUAUCAGAUAAUUACAGGUAGUAAAUGAAUUACUUGGACAGUUUGAAUGGGUAAUGGAGAGGGAGCUGGGUGAUGGCUUGAAGACCUUCUGCACUUCAGUCACUUCAGUGGGCUAGAAGGACGCUAGGGCUAGGUACCAGGACAGGCAGGGGAAUGCUGCAGUCAAAGAUAGUUUCCAUCACAUGGUCUGGGGCUAACUGUGAAUUGGUGGCUUUGCAAGGGAUAUGACAGCAUCACACUCCUUUCACUUCUAUCUUCUUUGCUUUUUAUCUACUAAAAGAGAAAAUUCUGAGUUUUGGAUCCUACAUACAUUUUGUCCAUAGCAACCACAACACUUCCCUCAGAUUUGCUAAAAAGCACGUCUUUGAUUUAGAACAAGAAAGACGGAUCUUCCUGCUGAUCCUCUACUUCUGAGCUUGACUGAAAUUUAGAAGUCAGCACUUUCAUUACAUACAGUCUCUCUGACGGCCCUUCCCAUGAUAGAGCCUCCAAACUCUGGCUUAGCAACCCACAGCUUUUGUAAGUAAUCACUGGGAAAGCACUGAGGAAAAACUGUGGAGUGAUGACUCACUGUAUCACAGUUUGGUUGCUUUAUCGUUUUCUAAUGCUCCUGAUGGGAAGAUAUUUUCUAUUGUGAGAGGCUUGUUUUCCUGCUCCAUUGGAACAAUGAUCUGUAAGGAUUUCCUGAGGAGUGACUGCUCCUUAUAGGGUGUGAGAUUUGUUGUCCUUUAGCUUCUGGAAGGCCAAGCUAAUUAACCAUCACCUAGUUACUUACUACCUUCCUGUUCCCUUUUGCCUUUUCAACACCCACUUGAGAGCAGAGGGUUUGUCACAGGACAUGCACACUGGGAAAUAGGGUGUGACUAAUCACAAACCAUCAUAAAUCAGCAGUGGAGGAGAAAAUGUGUAGGAUCAAGCUAGAGCAUCCAGGGGCCAUGUACAAACGAGAGCUCUGGGCCUUGCCCACAGCCUGGAGUAAUGCUAUGGGUUCAGUUUGGCAUCGCUGGCCUCCAGUGUGAGUUCCAGAUGUGGAAGUGGCCCCCAUUUGUGACAACAAUGACAACAAUUGACUUCUUUUGCCUCCAACCAGAAAUAACUCUUGGGGCUUCUUAAGAAAGCAAAUACACAACACAAGUCAAGGUUUAUCUGCUUGGGCAGAAGGCCCAAAACCACUGCAUUCUUCUCUUAUUUACAGUCUUCAGCGAAGACUUCUCUCCCAUGAUGACUGCAGACUUUAAUAUUUCCUUACAAGCACAGCCAGCUGUUUUGGGCUGCUUGCAGGCAUAGCCACACCUGUUAGGCUAGAUGCUUAACAAGAUAAAAAGGCAUGUUUUGGGGAAAGCCAUCAGAUUGUCUUCUCAGUGACUGGCCAAAAUGCAUGGCCGAAAGAGUUUGUAAAGAUCAUCCUAGGUAAGCUCAUGCAGGAGUUUCAGAAAUGGACUCUCUCACGAAGCCACUGACUCCUGGUUGUUGAGAGAAAGUCUUUUAAGAUGAUGCUAAACCUGCAGGAAUGCUUCUGAUCUGAUGGUAUGGGUAAAUAUAUGCUUAUAUGCCUUUAGGAUGGGGGACUAGAAGAUAUGUCAGUCACAUUACAUAGCUUGCUAUUGUCCCUUUCCCAGCUCCCAGGAGGCCGAGUGAAGCAGCUGUACUGCAGGGAUGCCAACCCUCAGCAAAAUACAGCAAUUGUUUUAUGAGUUUAAUGCUCUUUAUUUCCUAACUUAUUUACCAGGGGUACGUGUGGAGCUCUGUGAAAGUCGGUUUGCUGAGGAAGAAAGCCUUAAAAACACUCCUCCAUUUUUUGAUGUGUUGUUUUGUAUUGAAUAAAAGCGCUCUGUUGUAGAAAAUUAAAGUUUCAUUUAAAAGAUGAAAAUGAGGAGGGGAGGACGGACCUGGACAGGAAAACUCCAAAGCAGAGAAAUACCUCUUCAGCUCACACUGGGAAAAGAUAAAACAGAAACCAGGUUGGCCCAAUCUCAUCUUCAUUUCCUAACUGAUUGCGUCAGCCAUCAAACACCGCAGCAAGGGUGGGGACCUCACUGCCCUGGGGUCAUACGGCCUCUGCCCCAGUGGCUGCCAUGCUGAGGGGCAAAUGGCUCCUUCGUGGCACUGUAUCUCUGUGAAUCUAAUCUGACCUCCAUGCAAAACUGCCAGCUUGGUAUUUGCUAGCUCAGGUGCUGCUAUCACCUCCAUGUUGACAGAAAGAUAUACCGGUAAUGGCUGGGACUCUGCGGUGAGCACUGCCAACCUCCGUACCAAGGGGAAUUAAUUGCAGGAUUGGGGCCCACUAUGAAGCACAUAAAAGGGAUCUAGAAAAGUGCUGGAGCCCAGGCAGCAUUAGAUAAACGGUGGUGAGAAAGCCUGCAUUUAUAGCACUAAUGUAGCUGUGUUUCCUGAAAAAAAAAAAAAAAGAGAACAAGAAAUUCCCCAGUGUAGGCAUACUUAUUGUUUGCCAAAAAGCAUUCUGAAUUCCUCAAUAAUCAGUCAGGAAGCGGUAAAAUCUGUCAGACAAAUGACCAAUAUGUUAUUUUUUCCAAUAUCAAAUAUAUAUUUUAGGUCAUUACUAUUAGAGAAAAACAUUUCGUGGCCAAUGCAAUUUAUUUUUUCAGCGAUACUGAAUCUGUGAGUCAUACACAGCGAACGGAACCUCUGUGCACACACACACACAAAACCAUCUUAAGGACUUUGUUUCAGUCCAGACCAGUACUUUGCCUUGUAGAUGCAUCAGCUGCUGGCACUCGCUGUUCUUUCUAAAGAUUGCACAGGUAGAAAUUGUGUUGGUGUUUUCCCAUUCAAGUAAUCAGAAAAGUGGAAUUAAUUAUAAUAGCUAUAAUGUUUGUGCUGCCUGUAGACACCUGGAUUUCCCAUAAUAAACUUUCACAAAAUGUUUAAGAUAAUUUCGGACUUUAUUUGGUCACUUUGUGUGAUUGCUUUUGUUUAAUUUCCUCUGUGACAGAAGGCAAAGUGCUGACUUUGUAUCAGAAUAGGUCUACUAGCUUUGGAUGGCUGUUCUGAGGACCUCCUGUGAAGUUUCCCUGUUCUCUCCAUUGGAGAGGAUCUUUCUUUUUCUCUGAUGGAUGUAAAUUAGUAGGACUCACCUGGCGUUGCUGUUAGGAGUUGAAUCAGCAGAGUAACACUGCGAUUCUUUCCAGCUUCUUUGCUCGUAGAUAAAAAGAAAACAGAAUGCUAGCUUAAUAACCUUUCCCCAUUGUGCCCCAGAGGUUGGGCAUAUUGCCAUACACGGAUGUUAUCAAAAAUUGAAUCAUUUUAUAAAUAAACUGUGAAUUAACAGCUGUCUGGAUAAAUGUAUGCUUUGGUCCAAGACUGAUGUAUUCCAUUCUUUGAGAAUGUUCUCCAAAUAAAUUGAAUGUUUUCAUUUUGUACUUUGUUAUGAUUUAUCACAUUGUGGUUUAUUUUAAGCCUUUGAAUGCUUUCUCUUCCAUUUGCUGAACUUCAGAUACGGAAUGAAAAUACCCUUGGCUGCACAGUCUCCCCUCCAUGUUUUGAAGGAGAAGCCACGUAGCUAUCACAAUGGAUUAAGACAUCCUACAUUAAAAACCUGUGUCACUUCUGCAACUGUGUGCAUUUAUGCAACAAGACAUCAGUAGCUAAUGGGUCCAUCUAAGACAUUAAGUUGAAUGGACACUUUUUUUUCAUAGCGGUGGUAAUUAUGAAUACUCUGAGAAAGGCUUCUUUGCCAAUUGUAUCCCAAGAAAAUCAAAUAGUGUUCUCUUGCAAAAAAAAUUUAAAUAAAUAAAAAAGCUUGGCAAAUCUUCAGCCAUCUUAUUCCAUUACAUACCAUUAAGAAAAACAGUGGCUUGUUUAUUCACUGGAAGUUAAAUAUGUGCACAGUAGAUCUUUUGAAAGUCCCUAAAUGCUGCUUUAGCCUGCUGUGUGUCAAAUGCAUGGCCUCAAGCAAAGUGCUUUUCUAAAAGGUUACUUUUCUGUCUAUCUGCUGUGGACAACCCAUAGCACUAAUGGGUAAAUAAUCAAAGAAAUGCGAUGAUCUUGAAUUCUUUCAAAUAGAAUUACCACAGCCACCUUUCCUUUCUGAACUCAGACACAGCAGAGUUGUGGGGAUAUCCAUCCAUCUAUAAGGAAAGAGUUUGUUU
ensembl:lncRNA